rnacentral:lncRNA from 1 species
UGCUCAACAAGUACUGUAGACAUACAAUGCUCAGCAAGUGGAGUUGCUGUGAGUUCUCAUGCAGGCUCUCAGAUUUUCUACCUAGUGUAUGAAAAGUACAGUACUGCUGUUGGAAGAGGAGCAUCAUGGCUAUGGAUAAAAGAAGGUUUCAUUACAUAUGGACAAUUAUAUUGGACAAAAUAAGAAAAGUGUUCUAAUAAGUUGAAUGUGGCUUGUUACGAUGGGUCUACAUGAUUGACUUGGAGUACAACCUGAUGGAUGCCUGGCUUGCAGAAUUCAGUCCUGAACAUGUUUAGAAUGUCUUCUGCGUGACUUGGUAUAGUAUUCUUGAAGGAUUAAAACUUCAACACAGAGACAGAGAUUAAUAUUUUAUGCAGGUGAUUGGCAUGACGCAAAUUCUCCAACCGUAUUACCAUUCCUGAGCUGGAUGCCAGUCGACAGUUGUACCUGUAUAAUGAAACAGCACCCCUUUGCAGCAACAACAAUGUAUGCUCAAAAUUAGCAGUGCCAAAGCCAUUAAAAUUGAGAACUCAGUCAUGUAAAACAAAAUGAAUGGAAAAAAGUGUUUAACAUUUAAAGUAAUACAGAGAAAGAGCUUAGCUCAUUUGGUACUUUCUGAAAUUUUAAUUAACUUGGAAGUGUUUUUGAAUUUUUAAAGGUGUACUAGACCAAAAUUCCAUAUAUAGGAAUAUGAACAAAUGCUACAUUAUGGUGUCAGCAGUAGUAUGCAUUGGUUAAAUAUAGACACACUGUAUGUAUGUAAAGCUGAACACAGUAUAAAUGUGAAAUUCCUAAAAGACACUGGAAGAUUUUUCAACAAUCUACAGUUUAGUACUGCAUGACAUAAAAUUAUGAAUGGAGCUCUACAUACACAUGAUUUAUACAUUAAGCAAAGUUAAAUAUAUUUAUUGAUCAUCUUGAUGAUUUUCUACAUUUGAAGUAAUUACCUAAAUGUUAAAUAUUUUAGUGAAGAUAUAUUUUAUGCAACUAUAUAAAUUGAAAAAAGCUACCAUCCAGGAAGAAUAUUUUGAAAUGAUACUUUUACUUGAAAAUUUAUGUGAAAAAUGAAGGAAAUAGAUGUUAAAAUGAAUUCUUUAUUUUAUAAAAAAAAUGUUGUUGCCAUGGAAACAGAACUUGAGUAUUAAGUUUUAUCUGCU